rnacentral:rRNA from 1 species
UACGUAGGGUGCAGGCGUUAAUCGGAAUUACUGGGCGUAAAGCGUGCGCAGGCGGUUUGUUAAGGCAGGUGUGAAAUCCCCGGGCUUAACCUGGGAACUGCGCUUGUAACUGGCAAGCUAGAGUGUGGCAGAGGGGGGUGGAAUUCCAGGUGUAGCAGUGAAAUGCGUAGAGAUCUGGAGGAACACCGAUGGCGAAGGCAGCCCCCUGGGCUAACACUGACGCUCAUGCACGAAAGCGUGGGGAGCAAACAGG